rnacentral:rRNA from 1 species
UGGGGGAAUUUUGGACAAUGGGGGAAACCCUGAUCCAGCCAUCCCGCGUGUGCGAUGAAGGCCUUCGGGUUGUAAAGCACUUUUGGCAGGAAAGAAACGUCGCGGGUUAAUACCCCGCGAAACUGACGGUACCUGCAGAAUAAGCACCGGCUAGCUACGUGCCAGCAGCCGCGGUAAUACGUAGGGUGCAAGCGUUAAUCGGAAUUACUGGGCGUAAAGCGUGCGCAGGCGGUUCGGAAAGAAAGAUGUGAAAUCCCAGAGCUUAACUUUGGAACUGCAUUUUUAACUACCGGGCUAGAGUGUGUCAGAGGGAGGUGGAAUUCCGCGUGUAGCAGUGAAAUGCGUAGAUAUGCGGAGGAACACCGAUGGCGAAGGCAGCCUCCUGGGAUAACACUGACGCUCAUGCACGAAAGCGUGGGGAGCAAACAGGAUUAGAUACCCUGGUAGUCCACGCCCUAAACGAUGUCAACUAGCUGUUGGGGCCUUCGGGCCUUGGUAGCGCAGCUAACGCGUGAAGUUGACCGCCUGGGGAGUACGGUCGCAAGAUUAAAACUCAAAUGAAUUGACGGGGUCAUAGCUGUUUUCCU